GACGAAGGAUGCAAGCGUUAUCCGGAUUCAUUGGGUUUAAAGGGAGCGUAGGUGGUCUUAUAAGUCAGUGGUGAAAUCUCUCAGCUUAACUGAGAAAUUGCCAUUGAUACUGUAGGACUUGAGUAUAGUUGCCGUUGGCGGAAUAUGACAUGUAGUGGUGAAAUACAUAGAGAUGUCAUAGAACACCGAUUGCGAAGGCAGCUGACGAAACUAUAACUGACACUGAGGCUCGAAAGCUGGGGGAGCAAACAGG
rnacentral:rRNA from 1 species